GUAGGGAAUAUUGGGCAAUGGAUGCAAGUCUGACCCAGCCAUGCCGCGUGGAGGAAGAAGGUCCUCUGGAUUGUAAACUCCUUUUUUGGGGGAAGAAUAGUUCUCUUGCGAGGGAAUGUGACGGUACCCUAAGAAUAAGCCACGGCUAACUACGUGCCAGCAGCCGCGGUAAUACGAAGGGGGCUAGCGUUGCUCGGAAUUACUGGGCGUAAAGGGCGCGUAGGCGGACAGUUUAGUCAGAGGUGAAAGCCCAGGGCUCAACCUUGGAAUUGCCUUUGAUACUGUCGGACUUGAGAGAAGUGGAGGUUCAUGGAAUGGAUGGUGUAGCGGUGAAAUGCAUAGAUAUCAUCCAGAACGUCGAUUGCGAAGGCAGUGGGCUGUACUUUAUCUGACACUGAGGCACGAAAGUGUGGGGAUCAAACAGGAUUAGAUACCCGAGUAGUCC
rnacentral:rRNA from 1 species